CUCUCUGGAGAGUCCUGACUUAGUGCAGGGGCCGAAGGUGCAACACACCGGAUUAAUCCGGUAUGAAUCUCUCAGGCAAAAGGACAGAGAAGA
rnacentral:ncRNA from 1 species